AAAGUACAGUGUUAAGAUAAAAAGUUGUUUUACAUUCAGAUCUUGAUCUCCACACAAACAUCCCACAGCUGAAGAGUAAGUUGGGAUCACAGUAUUGGUCUAGUGUUGUCUCAUUGGACAUAAUUUACCACUGGCCAGCCUCCAAAUUCCCAUACAGGA